UACGUAGGUGGCAAGCGUUUUGUCCGGAUUUAUUGGGUUUUAAAGGGUGCGUAGGCGGUUUCAUAAGUCAGUGGUGAAAUCCGGCAGCUCAACUGUCGAUGUGCCAUUGAUACUGCAGAACUUGAGUACAGACGAGGUAGGCGGAAUUGACGGUGUAGCGGUGAAAUGCUUAGAUAUCGUCAAGAACACCGAUAGCGAAGGCAGCUUACUAGACUGUAAACUGACGCUGAUGCACGAAAGUGUGGGGAUCAAACAGG
rnacentral:rRNA from 1 species